rnacentral:rRNA from 1 species
UACGAAGGGGGCUAGCGUUGUUCGGAAUUACUGGGCGUAAAGCGUGCGCAGGCGGCUUCUCAAGUCAGGGGUGAAAGCCCAGAGCUCAACUCUGGAAUUGCCUUUGAGACUGAGUGGCUUGAGUACGGGAGAGGUGAGUGGAAUUCCCAGUGUAGAGGUGAAAUUCGUAGAUAUUGGGAAGAAUACCGGUGGCGAAGGCGGCUCACUGGACCACAACUGACGCUGAGGCGCGAAAGCUAGGGGAGCAAACAGG